rnacentral:rRNA from 1 species
UGGGGAAUAUUGCGCAAUGGGCGAAAGCCUGACGCAGCGACGCCGCGUGAGGGAUGAAGGUCUUCGGACUCGUAAACCUCUGUCAGCAGGGAAGAACGGUCACUGUGCUAAUCAGCAGUGAAUUGACGGUACCUGCAAAGGAAGCACCGGCUAACUCCGUGCC